rnacentral:rRNA from 1 species
GUGGUGGCACAAAAUCGGAAGCCCCGACUGUUUACUAAAAACACAGCUAUCUGCAACGAUGUAAAUCAUAGUAUAGGUAGUGAGGUUUGCCCGAUGCCAUUAAUAUAAGAGAAGUGAUGGGUAACUGUUAAUUAUCGAAAGUCUGGUUAAUAGCGGUCUUAACUAUGAGGAUCCUAAGGUAGCAAAAUAAAUUGGCCAUUAAAUGUGGUCCGGUAUCAAUAAUUUAACGAUGGCUUCACUGUCUCUACAACUUGCUCAGUGAAA